UGUGGGAAGGAGCUGUGCUGG
rnacentral:miRNA from 1 species